GACGGAGGGUGCAAGCGUUGUCCGGAUUUAUUGGGUUUAAAGGGUGCGUAGGCGGCUUUUUAAGUCAGUGGUGAAAUCCAGCAGCUUAACUGUUGAAUUGCCAUUGAUACUGGAGAGCUUGAGUACAGACGAGGUAGGCGGAAUUUAUGGUGUAGCGGUGAAAUGCAUAGAUACCAUAAAGAACACCGAUUGCGAAGGCAGCUUACUAGGCUGUAACUGACGCUGAGGCACGAAAGUGUGGGGAUCAAACAGG
rnacentral:rRNA from 1 species